rnacentral:lncRNA from 1 species
CAAAACAAAGUAGAAGACAAAUUACGCCGCUCUCUCAGUGGCUUAAUCAAUUUAUGGCGGUGCGGGUUAAACCGCGUAGUUAAUUCCCUCGUGCGCGGACGUCUGCGAACGAGGAAACGCGUCGUUAGCAGAGCGUUCUUUAAAUUACGUGCAGAAUACGAUUCGGUCGGGUCGAGCAAUUGUUGCAAUUGAUCCUUGUGCAGAGGUUAUCGAAACGAUUAAACGACCAUGUUACUAUAAUCGUCUGUAUGGCGCAUCGUGCAGUGUGUAAUAAAUAAGUAACGUCGUUAUCUAAAAGUGUCUGAUUAAGACCAUUACGGUCAAGGAUUUUAAAUCAAUAAAAGAAGCAGACACGAUUAAGCGCGAGAUUAAUAUAGAUAUGCAUCUCGCUGCAAGCUAGAUUUAUACAUAAUUGUAAUGCGAUUUCAUGUAAAGAGAGAUUUGACAUAAAAAUUUUUAUUUUAGAAUUACCUAUAGAAUUUAAUUUAGAAUUACUAAUAAUUUAGAAAGCCCUACUUAGCUUGUUAAAAACUGCAAGACUAAAGGUACCUCUCCUACCUAAACAAUAAUUUUUGCCGAGAAAAAAUCGGCUCCGAGUUGAUCCGAGAAUUCAUAGACGAAAGGUAGUUCAUUCACGUCCAUUCCCUAGUAUGCCUCGUGUAAUAACGGCUACACGCAUACGCGGCCUGAUGGGCCCGGUCAUGACGUCACGGACGGGGAGCCUUCGACCUCGUGUCGCGUACAUAUCGCUGACACUUGGGUUACUUCAGCUCGUCUCGCACUUGACACGGCCCAUUAUCAUCCACCGGCGUAUCCAUCUAUUAUCUAGCCGCGACUAUCCAUCCAUUAUACCCCGUACGGUCAGCGCGUCCCCGAAGCACCGCGUCUCGCAGCCGUUCAAUUAAUUCCCCGAGCAGUAUGUUAUAGUUCGCCCGUUCGCUGGAGAUGAGACUGGGCGUCGUGACGCGAGUUUCGUGACGCGAGUUUCGGGACGCUCGUCUCAAAUGUAGAAGCCGGAAGGGCGUGGUGACCAUUCGUUAAUGUUGAAAAAAGAAUCGGGAGUUGAAUCUUGCGAAAAUUGCUGUUUGCGCGUCGCGGGGUGCGUUGCAACGUGCAGGAAGUUGGCGCGAGAAACCUGUGGUCCCGGCCAAAUAUUUAAAGCCGACGGGGUAGGCCGCGGGAGAAAUAUUUGUUUUCCGAUACGAGAGCAACCAGUUCGCGCGCUCUCUCUCUCUCUCGCUCGCUCGUGUGUAUGCGCGACGCUGGUAUUUUACGACUUCGAGCGCCGUGCAUCCGACCCGCGAGAAUGGACGGUGGACGGCAAAUAACACAGCAAAAAGCGAACGUUUGGGAGCGGAGACGCUGUUUUCAGACUGGAUAACACGCGCGCGAGUGUCUGGGAUCCUUUACGUUCCAGGCGCGUUUAGCGUAGGGUGGAUAAGUAGAUAGGCGCAUCAGUAGUCCUCCACGUGCGCGCGCGCAUACUGCCGAGUGCUGCAAAAGUUCUGAAGAAGCUCCUAAGACGCAAAGUUCGAAGGCGAUCGUUCGCUGCAACGAUAACGGAUAUUGGAUUAAGUCGCUGAUGAGUUCCUGCUGGUUCCCUCUCGCUGUGUUCUUUUUACACGAACAUGUAAAUACUUGAGCAGUCGUCUUGCAGUCGUCUUGAGAGUCGUCGAACGGUUAGUCGUACGUGCUACAUAGGAUUUAACUGAUCUUGCAAUUUCUGCGACAGAUUCGUGGCACCGCACCGGUUCGAGCAAAGCAGGAUCGGCUCGAAGAUAAGUUCACAAAUUUAUUUUAUACCUGUAUAUUUCUUUGCAGAUUUGCGGAGUCCUGUAGGAAUUACGAACAAACCGAUCUAGUAAUAUUUAGUUAUGAUAGAUGGCAGGAGUUUUCCUAUUGAUGUGAUAUCGAUUGAUUGAAUUGAUUCCGUUAUACUUUUGUUUUCUCGAUGCGCGGUCGACGAUGGAAGAAUCCACCCAGUCGAGUAGAAGUUCCUCGGCGUAGAGAGUUAUCUUUUAAGUUGUCCUUACGUUAUGUAUAUUUGACAAAUAUAUAUUAUAAAUUGUAAACUUAUCUGUAUUCUCUCGUAAUAUCAUCCAUCAAGUCUAAAAUGUACUCAUUAAAUUAAUUCAAGUCGCGACGUAACACUGCAAAGAUUUAACAUUUUAUAUAUGUAUUUAUUUAUGAAAUGUAUUUCUGAAAAUCGGCUUUAUUUUUUAAUCGGCUUUUAAUCAUUUUUGUUUCAGAGUAGCAGAAUGCAGUCGCUCCUAAAACGCAACUGCUCGGUAAGUGAUAAGCAAAAAUAUUUUUUAUAUAGCAAUAAGUAUAUCUUUGUAAUAUUCAAUGUGAUUUAUUUUGUUUUAGUAAAUAGAAAUAUUAGAUCAUUAACUAAAUAAUCCGCAUUGCGUCUAGAUGGCGAUAAAUCAAAUUAAAUAUAUGCGA